UACAGAGGUCUCAAGCGUUGUUCGGAUUCAUUUGGGCGGUAAAGGGUGUGUGAGGUGGCGCGCUAAGUCGGGUGUGAAAUUUCGGAGCUUAACUCCGAAACUGCAUUCGAUACUGGCGUGCUUGAGGACUGGAGAGGAGACUGGAAUUCGAUGGUGUAGCAGUGAAAUGCGUAGAGAUCAUGAGAAGACCAGUGGCGAAGGCGGGUCGUCUGGACAGUUCCUGACGCUGAGGCACGAAGGCCAGGGGAGCAAACGGG
rnacentral:rRNA from 1 species